GCGGCUUUCCCGGGGCGGGGGCCAAGGCAGAGUAAGGGGGUGCCGCGGGCAGCAGCCGCCCCCGCCCCCCGUCCACCCGGACGCUAGUGCCAGUGCCGGGCACGCGGGUGCCUUGGCCGGGGGCUUCUUCUCCUGCGCUCUGCUCGGCUCGGCUUCUGAUGGUGCCCUCGUCCAGGGUCCAGCAUGACGAUCCGACACCAAGGCCAACAGUACAGGCCGAGGAUGGUAUUUCUGCAGAAGGUUUGCAAGCUGCCCGCUGGUCUUGAAGAGUCAGCCGUGCUUGGGCAGAAAGUCGGAGGGUGAAGAGCUUCCUAUGAGCCCAGGCCGGACUGUUCCGAGGGUGUUCUACGCCCUUUCCCCCAGCGGUUCCCACCAACUCCGGUGAUCCACAGGCUGGUCUGCACGUGAAUGCCCGCUGUGUUGCCUUCCUUCCCCUAGCUCCCCCCUUCCCCAGCUACCUACCGCUGCUUCCCGAGAUCAGCCCUCUCACCAACCCUAUGAGAUCCCAUUAUUUCCCCCAAUUUUACAGGUAAGAGAACAGGUUGUUGAGGACCAGGACUGGAAAAACUGGUGCAAUUUGGUCAAACUGGUCUCACUAGGACAGCAAAAACUUGAAGUGUGCUGCCUGCAGUGGGUCGGAAUUUCCAAUCCUGUGUGAGGCACCCCAAAUCCAGAGAGCCUUGAGGCUGAGACUGAAGGGACUUUCUGCCCAAGAAGGGCAGAAGGGAAGCCGCAGGGGGUGGGGGUGGCAUGUCCCAGAGCAGAGGCAGGAGCGAGUCUGGUGUUGGAGGCAGGUUGCUUGCUAUUGCUGAAUUUAUUAUACCAGGGGAGUGUGAGGCUGGACAGGGAGGCCACAACGGAUCAUACCCAUCUCCUGUGCCUUUCAGAGGUGGCCUGAUUUCCCCCAGAAGAAGCUACGGAGGAAUUUGGAGCAGCUACUGCAGGAUUGAAAGAGUUCAAUCAAGAGGGAGCCAUGGUUGGCAGGGGUCCUCCAGAUGAAGAUGUGGCAGGCCAGACCUGGCGGCUAUGGGAAUGUCUACUCUGGCAGCCAAAAUAAAAUCCCACCGACUGGGGGAGCUUCCACAGCAGAAAUGUCCUGUCUCCCUGUCCUGGAGGCCAGAGAGCAAGGUGCUGGCAAGGAUCAGGAAAGCAACUGCUGGAAGGCAGGACCAGCGGUGGCAGCAGCCUGGAUCUCAGAGUCAGGACCCUGACAGAAUGCCCCGGACCAUGGCCCACUGGAUUUUGCAUUUGCCUGGGGUGUCGCCAUCACUUUCUACAAGCCAGACGGCCCCGAGAAGUCAUCGCAAGGAAACAAGUCCACGGUUCUGGGUAUCCGAGGGGCCGAACGCGAGGCAUCACUUCGGGGACAAACGGGCCGACCCCACGGCUUCAGGGGUGGCCCCUCCGGGAAGCCCUUCUCCCCGCCCUGCGGUGUCUUGGUCCCUCAGAGCUGGCGGCCCGCGGGGACCCCGGACCCGCCUUCUGCGACCCGCGCCCAGUUCUACCGCCUCCCACAGUCCCCAGCCUGAGGCAGGAACUUAGGACGAAACCCCCCGUCCCCGCCUCCAACCCGUCCCACAGCAGGGCUGGGGCGGAGCCGGAAGAGGCCCUCGACGGAAGUCCGCCUUUCGAGCGUCGCGUUUCCUCUCUAGGACUUUGGAGGGCUCCUGACCUCUAUGGUCUGGACGCCGGCGGCUGUAUGGCGGGAAAGAAAGGGGGCGCGGGUCCGCCGGGUAGAGCAGCGAUCUGUGUCUUUGGGACACCCUACUGGCCUUUUUCACGUGUGCAUCUGGCAGCAUUACUGGAAGACAGAUGGGAAUUGCCAUCUUCAUGGUUUAGAAAAGUGGAGAUUUUUCACAAUGGGGCACCCUGGAAUGUCUGAACAGUUUUCUAGCUUUUUUUUUUUUUUUUUUUAAACAGUACUUGCUAUCUCCCUAUUAACCAUCUAUCUAUCUAUCUAAUCUAUCCCUAUCUUAGUUAUAUUUUUAGUUUUAUUUAUUGAGUUAGGUAGUAAUAUUUUUAAAGGUAAGCUCCAUGCCUAGGGUGUGGCUUGAACUCAGAACCCAGAGAUCAAGAGUGGCAUGUUCUACUGACUGAGCCAGCUAGGCGCCCCUCUAACUUUUUUUUUUUUUUUUUUUUUUAAUUUUUAUUAGCAGAGGUGCACAUACCUUUUUUACUGGCAUGAGGUCUAACUUUAAAACAGUAACAGGGGUGAAGGGACCCUGAAUAAGUACCUUUUGAACUUGAACCCCAGGUGGGGGCUGGACCUGCUGCUCUUUUCUUUUCAAAGACCCAGUCCUUUUGUCCACUAACACUGCAGGGAUAAGUGGGCACACUUGUCCUUCCCCUCGUCUCCAGGGCCCCAAGUGGCCCUUCUGUUGGUUAAAAGCUUUGUGUUAACCAACUUAUAUAUAAUCUUCUUACUUGGAUUUUCUGCCCUAAAAGGAGAAAGGGAAGACAAUGCAAAUAUAAAU